UACGGGAGGCAGCAGUGGGGAAUAUUGCACAAUGGGCGCAAGCCUGAUGCAGCCAUGCCGCGUGUAUGAAAAGGCCUUCGGGUUGUAAAGUACUUUCAGUCGUGAGGAAGGUGUUAAGGUUAAUAACCUUAGCAAUUGACGUUAGCGACAGAAGAAGCACCGGCUAACUCCGUGCCAGCAGCCGCGGUAAUACGGAGGGUGCGAGCGUUAAUCGGAAUUACUGGGCGUAAAGGGCACGCAGGCGGUUAAUUAAGUUGGAUGUGAAAUCCCCGGGCUUAACCUGGGAAUGGCAUUCAAGACUGGUUAGCUAGAGUCUUGUAGAGGGGGUAGAAUUCCAUGUGUAGCGGUGAAAUGCGUAGAGAUGUGGAGGAAUACCGGUGGCGAAGGCGGCCCCCUGGGACAAAGACUGACGCUCAUGUGCGAAAGCGUGGGGAGCAAACAGGGAUUAGAUACC
rnacentral:rRNA from 1 species